GACGAACGCUGGCGGCGUGCUUAACACAUGCAAGUCGAACGGAAAGGCCCGGCUUUUGUGGGGUGCGCGAUUGGCGAACGGGGGAGUAACACGUGAGUAACCUGUCCUUGACUGUGGGAUAACUUCAGGAAACUUGGGCUAAUACCGGAUAGGAUCUCUUGCUGCAUGGUGGGGGUGGGUAAGAUUCGGCGGUUGGGGAUGGACUGGCGGCUUAUCAGCUUGAUGGUGGGGUAGUGUCUUACCAAGGCUUGGCGGGGUAGCCUGCCUGAGAGGGUGACCUGCUCCAUUACGCUUGCGCUACGGCACAGCCCCGAAUCCGACGCAACGGUGGAGAGUAUUACACAAUAGGCGGAAGGCAGACGUGACCCCGCCGCGUGCGGGAAGACGUGAUUGGGGUUGUGAACCGAUUUCGUCUGUGCCGAGGUGAGAGUGACGGUACCGGGUAAAGAAGCACCGGCUAACUACGUG
rnacentral:rRNA from 1 species